rnacentral:rRNA from 1 species
UUACAAAGGGGGGAGACUCCCUUUCCCCCUCUGGUCUUCCUCUUUCUCCUCCUCRAAACCUUCCUCCCCGCGUACGGCACUGUGGGUCGGCUGGCGCUUUAUGGCGGAAAGGGUGGUUUGAGAAAGAAGGGUGAAAGCAGGUGGCCGUUUGCCGGAAGGUGAAAACUUGACGGCCGGUCGUUUGUGGAAGCCUGGAAUCUUAUUCCCCCUCGCUGUCGUGGUGCUUCCGUACCCUCUGUGUCAGCGGGAGGAGGUCGAAAAUCAAAAUAAAAAAACGUGUCAUGAUUAAGAGGGACGGCCGGGGGCAUUCGUACCGCGGCGCGAGAGGUGAAAUUCUAGGACCGUCGCGAGACGAACGAUAGCGAAAGCAUUUGCCAAGAAUGUUUUCCUUAAUCAAGAACGAAAGUCGGAGGUUCGAAGGCGAUCAGAUACCGCCCUAGUUCCGACCUUAAACCAUGCCGUCCGACCGCCCGCCAGGGUUACUACCGCGACUCGGCGGGCGGUGACUUUCCACCGGGAAACCCUUAAGCUUUCGGGUUCCGGGGGAAGUACGGUCGCAAAGCUGAAACUUAAAGGAAUUGACGGAAGGGCACCACCAGGAGUGGAGCCUGCGGCUUAAUUUGACUCAACACGGGGAACCUCACCCGGCCCGGACACCGCGAGGAUUGACAGAUCGAUAGCUCUUUCUCGAUCCGGUGGGUGGUGGUGCAUGGCCGUUCUUAGUUGGUGGAGCGAUCUGUCUGGUUAAUUCCGAUAACGAACGAGACUCUAGCCGGUUAAGUAGCCCGAGUGGCGUGUUGUUGAUUAAAAACCGCCCUAGCGGCUUUCGGGGUGCUUCUCGGAAGCUGUCUGGCUUUAACGCCGGUGGGACGGGGAGGUGAAAGAUGACGGUUGGAGCCGCGUGCGUCGCGGCUCGGAUCUAGUUUUUUAACUUCCCUUCAAUCCUGUCGCGUUUCGGCCUUUCACUUUUGGGGGCCUCUGUUUGCCUAACUGGGGUAGAUAAAACGUUAACGAGAGUCGGGGGGCAGUGGGUGUUACU